rnacentral:rRNA from 1 species
GAUGAACGCUGGCGGCGUGCCUAAUACAUGCAAGUCGAGCGAACAGACGAGGAGCUUGCUCCUCUGACGUUAGCGGCGGACGGGUGAGUAACACGCGGAUAACCUACCUAUAAGACUGGGAUAACUUCGGGGAACCGGAGCUAAUACCGGAUAACAUGUUGAACCGCAUGGUUCAACAGUGAAAGACGGUCUUGCUGUCACUUAUAGAUGGAUCCGCGCCGCAUUAGCUAGUUGGUAAGGUAACGGCUUACCAAGGCAACGAUGCGUAGCCGACCUGAGAGGGUGAUCGGCCACACUGGAACUUAGACACGGUCCAGACUCCUACGGGAGGCAGCAGUAGGGAAUCUUCCGCAAUGGGCGAAAGCCUGACGGAGCAACGCCGCGUGAGUGAUGAAGGUCUUCGGAUCGUAAAACUCUGUUAUUAGGGAAGAACAAAUGUGUAAGUAACUAUGCACGUCUUGACGGUACCUAAUCAGAAAGCCACGGCUAACUACGUG